GGGAGGGGGAGGCAGGCAUGCUCAAGUAGAGCUAACGGAGCAAAGGAAGUAGGAAGGAAUCAAACAGCCAGGGGGGAAUUCCCUGGUUAAUUUAUUUCUCAGCGAAAUCAGCACUUUUAUAAACUGAGGUUAAGACUCUUCAGCAAGCUGGGGUGCUUUUGGGGCAUGGAGUGGACCUUUAAGGUUGAGAGUUUCACUAUGUUCUCUG